rnacentral:lncRNA from 1 species
CAGAAAAAAUGUCUUCCUGAUAUUCCUGGUACCAGGAAGAAAAGAACAUUCUUGUUACCAGAGAUGAGGCGUUGACACUGAGAUGAGUGUGCACAAGGAAUAAAAUUUAAGAAUGACCCUUAAAUUGUAUUAGUUUCACCCAUAUAUUUCCUAGUCAUGUUCCCGUAGUUUACCACCCCUAUGAACCAAAACCCCUUUCCUUUGUCUAGUUUCUUUUCCACAAUUUAUUGCCCUUUGUUUAUAUGGUAUAUAAUCCCUGAGUCCAACUGCUUCUUUGGGAUUUUCAUGUCUUUCUCGUGAAGCUGCCAUACCAUGUCACACUAUUAACAUCAAAUAAAAUGUGUAUGCUUUUCUUCAGUGAAUUCACAGUUUUCAGGUACAGAAACUAAAAGAGUAGAGGAAAAUUUUUUCCUCCCCUACAGUUGCAGUUAUCUAUCAGAAUUUAUAUUGCUUAUUCUUUUACUCACUCUUUUGUUUAAUAUCCUCCCCAUGAAAAUGUAAGCUCAAUGAAAGUAAGAGGAUUAUUUUUCACCACCGUAUCUAUAGGCCCGGCAUAUAGUAAGUAUUCAAUAAAUAGUUGUUAAAUGAUUGAAUCUGCACAGAGGUGAUAUGAUUUAAGCCCCAAGGAGGCUGAGAUAUCUGAGAGAGAGAAUGUCAACAGAAGAGCCCCACUAACUGACCACUAUUGAUAUAAUAAUUUUAGGUCCCAAAUAUAGGCCAAGGUGCCACAUUACAUGAGCAUCUACUAAAUGCAAUUGAUCUUCUAAAUGAAUUGAUCUUCUUGUUUAAAGAAAAGGAAGACAACUGUGAAGGUUUGAAGGAAGGCAAAGUGAACUACCAGAAAAAGGCAUUGUGAAUAGCACACAGCAGGAGUCUAAAAGUAGAACAAAUAUCAAAGAAAUAAAUUCAAAGAAUAAAAUCCUGAUUUUAAAAAGCAGUUUUAACAUAGACUCCUCAGAAAGGAAAGGGGAAGGGGCUGGGGGGCAGAAAUUAGAUAGUAAGGCACAAUAUCUGUUCAGCAGUGGAUUCAAAUGGAAACUUCCACCAAAUAGUAUAUAUGCAUCUGUUUGUUGGGGAGAAGAAUAGUCAAAAGCAUAUUUUAUUACAUACAAAGUAAAAGAAAGCAAGUGUGAAGCAGUGGCAUUGCUAAGUUGACAGUGAUAACAGUCCUCUAGUAAUAGUGGGUUUACCCAGUUCCAUCACAGCCUCUUAUAUAGUCCAUGAUGGCCUCUUCAAGUUUCAUGUGCUACCUGGCAUUUCCCAUGAAAAGCCUACUGUGGUUGAUCUGGUGUGCUGUUACUAUGGUAAGAAAUUAAAAUGAAUAGAUAUUUAUAGUUUAUAUAGUACCACAGUGAUACUUCUCCCCUGCAAUCAAUAGUUUAUUAGCCAGAAGUGUCUAUCAAGUGUUUGUAUAGUGAUAUAUCAAAGCAGAAAACCAACUUUUUAAAAAACAUGAACUUUUGAAAAUGUAACAGAUGUUACUCACACAUGCUUUGAUACAACAGAAGAACUUUUUAAAGUGACCUAUAAAUAUAGAGGCUGUCUUAAAUAAUCAUAAUAUAAUUUUUUACCAUUUAUGUCUCAUAUUUUCCCACUUAUGGCUAAUAUAAGAAAUACAUUUUUGUGAUUCUUUUUGAGAAUUAGUUUUUUAAAAAAUAUCAUAAGAGAAAUUAUAAAUGGAAAAUUAUGCAAACAUAAAUUUGAUGAGAAGUACUCACCUUGUCAAAAUAGGCCUGUGAUUUAAAAAAAAAUGAAUUUGAAGAGAUUUUUAAUUGCAUCAUCUUUCUGUAUAAUCCAUUUCCACAUCAUUUGAUGGCACUGAUGUCAGUUUUUCAUCACUGUAGUGGCUGAGACACAUUAGAAUAAGACAGCCCUGGAUUCGUAUUCCAGCUCUAACAUGUCCUUCCUGGGUGGGUCACUUAAUCUCUCUGAGCUAAGCUUUUUUCAUCUAUAAAAUUGGGGUCAUAGGAUUAUUAUUGUAAAGAUAAAAUGAGAUAAUGUAUAUAAAACAUCUGGCAUAAAGUAAUGUGCAGUGCAGUCACAGUAAUUAUUAAUUAAAUUCAUCAACAAAUAUUCUGUGCCUUUGUUCUAGGUUCUGGGAAUGUGCAUCAGGGCUGCCUGUGGAUUAUAAAGGUUGUACAUGAAGCAAAUCCACAGGCCACUGUUUGCAACAGUGCACCCUGGAGCUAGCAGGGCACAGUCUAGAGGUCAUAUUUAUAGCCCUAACAGUGGAAAGUAGAAUGGGUAAAGUUUAUACUCUAACGAAAAAAAUAACAUUUAUUAUUAUGACUUCACACUAUCAACACCCUAACAUUCAAUAUAAUAAUAAUUAGUGAAUCACACUUUCACUUUUCAUUUCUUUGCUGUACUUCCAUCUUUGUUAGUCAGUUCACUUUUUUGAUUACCCAUUUUUAGAAAAUGUUACAGGGGUUAAUCACUGGUUGACAAGAAGACAACACAGCUGUACACUUUGCUCUCUGGGGGUAAACUGAAUAACAGAUGUGCAGUGACCAAUCACACACUAUUCUGAAGGAAGUGAUGUAAUUGGUCAUGGAUCAUGAUAUGUGUCUGUUAUUUACUUAGUGAUUUGUCAAGAGCUAGGAGCAAACUUUGUACUUUAUAUGAUUACUUACAGUUAAUAUACCAUGGAUUUACCCCUGUAGUUUUCAUUAUAUUAUCUUGUGCUUUAAUUUAUUUUUAACAUGUUGCUUUAUAACACAGUGUUUUUCUUUUUGAGUCAUCUAGUUAUUUUCUUGUUGAGAGAGGAUAUAGUUAUGUGAAAAAAGCUUUGGACUGGGAGUCCUGGCAAAUAAUUUCAGACUUUGGACAGACCAUUUUCAACAUCUGUAAAAUCAAGGGGUUAGGCCUUUCAUUUGCAGACCAGAGGUUGCAAAAUGGCAGGCCACAGAUUGUGUUACUGAGCCAAACUUUGGUUGGCCUGCCCGGUGCAGCAAAGCCAAACGCUGACAUUGAGAUUUGCAGUGAAAGAAAAUAAGGCAUUUAUUGCAGGGUGCCAAGCAGGGAGAAUUGGGAAGCUCAUGAUUAAGACCUGAACUCCCCGAUGGCUUGCAUGUAGGGGUUUUUAAAGGCAGGAAGGCAGAGGUUUUAAGUAAAGUCAUGAAUCAACACAUAAAGGCUAUACUUUGGUUUGACCUAAAAAGGACGGACAUCUCAAAGCAGGGGCCCACUGGUC